AUAUAAGUCCUAGUUGAUGUACUACUUAAACCCGAAGCUUCCGAUAAACUCGAUCGUCGCGAUGUUUCUUCCGGUCUCCCCCCAGGAACGCGAGAAGGACGAGUGUAUGAGAUCGAGGAGAACCAAAAAUACGACUCCUCCCGGUCGUACCGCUGGGGAGCGCCGCAGUGGACAUUAUAAAUAUAACUACACCAAGUGUUCCACAUUUUGCCGGAUCGCACGGUCUUGGAAUAGGUAAAGUGAACGCGAGGUGAUUCACGUUUUAAGAUAACGUGCUCUCUCUUCAAUAUUACACUCGAAAUUCUAAGUAAGAGUUUAUUAGUUAUGCUCUAGAUGUUUAUCAGUAGUGUGUAUGUAAACUUUUUACUUUUUUAUUUAUGUACAUAGAUGUUUGUGAUUGUUAACGUUAUAACGUAAAAAUUAAAAAAGAAUUACAUAAUUGAUAUGAUUAGUUUAAAAUCCCAAAAUGGACCAUUUAUGUUUAAGUUUUGAACUUAUUUAACUAAUUUUUAUAAUUGAACAGAAAAUGUCGUAUCAGCUUAUCCAGAGACGGAUAACGCAAUGGUAGCAAGUAGCAAGCCAGCCAGCUCCUUUGAAUCGCUAAUAUUUUUAUUUUUUUUCAAUACGAGUUAUUAUUAUGAGUUUAUCCAGCGCUAAAACUGCCUCCCCAGUUGUUAAAUAUCUUUUGAAAAAACUCGAAAUGCCAAGGAUUUUAAAAUUGUCAAAACAAAUGUCAUUAUAACCAAAAGCGAUGCUAAAUUAGCUGCAAUUACAUUAAUUUAUUUUUAAUUUAUUUCAAUUUUUUUAAUAGUCAAAUAUGUAUAAAAUAGUAGUAAUUAGUAUCAUCGGGAACGAAAAAAGCUACGAUUGAAACUUGAAAUGUCAACUAUUUUAAAAUAGUCAAAAAUGGAGACAAAUCCAAAAGUGAAGUGAAAUUAGCGGCAACUUAAUUAAGAUUUAUUUAAUUAAUUACUUUAAUUUAUUUUUAAAUAUAUUAAAUUUUACCUAAAACCUACAAAUUAACCAUCACUGAACCAAUUCAAUGCAAUUUCCUAAAUAAAUUUAAAAUCAUUUAACGAAAACAUUAUUUUAAAUUAACAUUAUAUUUGAAAUAAUUUAUAGAUGUAAUAAAAAUUGAAAUAUUUAAAAUGAUUUAUUAUUACAAAGAGAAAAUAAAACCUUUUAUCAACUUAAUCUUA